GACGAACGCUGGCGGCGUGCUUAACACAUGCAAGUCGAACGGAAAGACCCUGCUUUUGUGGGGUGCUCGGGUGGCGAACGGGUGCGUAACACGUAAGUAACCUGCCCUUGACUUUGGGAUGACUUCAGGAAACUGGGGCUACUACCAGAUAGGAGCUCCUGCUGCGUUGUGAGGGUUGGAUAUUUUCGGCGGGUGGGGAUGGACUGGCGGCUUAUCGGCUAGUUGGUGGGGUAGUGGCUUACCCAGGCUUUGACGGGUCGCCGGCCUGGGAGGGUGGACGGCGACAUGAGGACUGCGAGAGGGCCCAGUCGGCUACGGGAGGCAGUGGGGGGGAAUAUUGUACAAUGGGCGGAAGUCUGAUGCAGCAACGCCGCGUGUGGGAUGACGUCUUUCGGGGUGUAAACCGCUGCCGCCUGUGACGACGCGGGAGUGACGGUAACGGGUAAAGAAGCACCGGCUAACUACGUG
rnacentral:rRNA from 1 species